GAAGAGACGGAGCCGCAGCGAAAGCGAGUCUGAAUAGGGCGUUUAGUACGUGGUCGUAGACCCGAAACCAGGUGAUCUACCCAUGUCCAGGGUGAAGUUCAGGUAACACUGAAUGGAGGCCCGAACCCACGCACGUUGAAAAGUGCGGGGAUGAGGUGUGGGUAGCGGAGAAAUUCCAAUCGAACCUGGAGAUAGCUGGUUCUCCCCGAAAUAGCUUUAGGGCUAGCCUUAAGUGUAAGAGUCUUGGAGGUAGAGCACUGAUUGAACUAGGGGUCCUCAUCGGAUUACCGAAUUCAGUCAAACUCCGAAUGCCAAUGACUUAUCCUUAGGAGUCAGACUGCGAGUGAUAAGAUCCGUAGUCAAGAGGGAAACAGCCCAGAUCGCCAGCUAAGGUCCCAAAGUGUGUAUUAAGUGGAAAAGGAUGUGGAGUUGCUUAGACAACUAGGAUGUUGGCUUAGAAGCAGCCACCAUUUAAAGAGUGCGUAAUAGCUCACUAGUCGAGUGACUCUGCGCCGAAAAUGUACCGGGGCUAAAUACACCACCGAAGCUGCGAAUUGAUACCAAUGGUAUCAGUGGUAGGGGAGCGUUCUAAGUGCAGUGAAGUCAGACCGUAAGGACUGGUGGAGCGCUUAGAAGUGAGAAUGCCGGUAUGAGUAGCGAAAGACGGGUGAGAAUCCCGUCCACCGAAUGCCUAAGGUUUCCUGAGGAAGGCUCGUCCGCUCAGGGUUAGUCAGGACCUAAGCCGAGGCCGACAGGCGUAGGCGAUGGACAACAGGUUGAUAUUCCUGUACCACCUCUUUAUCGUUUGAGCAAUGGAGGGACGCAGAAGGAUAGAAGAAGCGUGCGAUUGGUUGUGCACGUCCAAGCAGUUAGGCUGAUAAGUAGGCAAAUCCGCUUAUCGUGAAGGCUGAGCUGUGAUGGGGAAGCUCCUUAUGGAGCGAAGUCUUUGAUUCCCCGCUGCCAAGAAAAGCUUCUAGCGAGAUAAAAGGUGCCUGUACCGCAAACCGACACAGGUAGGCGAGGAGAGAAUCCUAAGGUGUGCGAGAGAACUCUGGUUAAGGAACUCGGCAAAAUGACCCCGUAACUUCGGGAGAAGGGGUGCUUUCUUAACGGAAAGCCGCAGUGAAUAGGCCCAAGCGACUGUUUAGCAAAAACACAGGUCUCUGCGAAGCCGUAAGGCGAAGUAUAGGGGCUGACACCUGCCCGGUGCUGGAAGGUUAAGGAGAGGGGUUAGCGUAAGCGAAGCUCUGAACUGAAGCCCCAGUAAACGGCGGCCGUAACUAUAACGGUCCUAAGGUAGCGAAAUUCCUUGUCGGGUAAGUUCCGACCCGCACGAAAGGUGUAACGAUUUGGGCACUGUCUCAACCAGAGACUCGGUGAAAUUAUAGUACCUGUGAAGAUGCAGGUUACCCGCGACAGGACGGAAAGACCCCGUGGAGCUUUACUGUAGCCUGAUAUUGAAUUUUGGUACAGUUUGUACAGGAUAGGCGGGAGCCAUUGAAACCGGAGCGCUAGCUUCGGUGGAGGCGCUGGUGGGAUACCGCCCUGACUGUAUUGAAAUUCUAACCUACGGGUCUUAUCGACCCGGGAGACAGUGUCAGGUGGGCAGUUUGACUGGGGCGGUCGCCUCCUAAAGUGUAACGGAGGCGCCCAAAGGUUCCCUCAGAAUGGUUGGAAAUCAUUCGUAGAGUGCAAAGGCAUAAGGGAGCUUGACUGCGAGACCUACAAGUCGAGCAGGGACGAAAGUCGGGCUUAGUGAUCCGGUGGUUCCGCAUGGAAGGGCCAUCGCUCAACGGAUAAAAGCUACCCCGGGGAUAACAGGCUUAUCUCCCCCAAGAGUCCACAUCGACGGGGAGGUUUGGCACCUCGAUGUCGGCUCAUCGCAUCCUGGGGCUGUAGUCGGUCCCAAGGGUUGGGCUGUUCGCCCAUUAAAGCGGUACGCGAGCUGGGUUCAGAACGUCGUGAGACAGUUCGGUCCCUAUCCGUCGUGGGCGUAGGAAAUUUGAGAGGAGCUGUCCUUAGUACGAGAGGACCGGGAUGGACGCACCGCUGGUGUACCAGUUGUUCUGCCAAGGGCAUAGCUGGGUAGCUAUGUGCGGAAGGGAUAAGUGCUGAAAGCAUCUAAGCAUGAAGCCCCCCUCAAGAUGAGAUUUCCCAUAGCGUAAGCUAGUAAGAUCCCUGAAAGAUGAUCAGGUUGAUAGGUUCGAGGUGGAAGCAUGGUGACAUGUGGAGCUG
rnacentral:rRNA from 1 species